rnacentral:rRNA from 1 species
CCGCGGCCCGAGUGGUAACCGCUUUUAUUGGGUNUAAAGGGUCUGUAGCCGGCCAGGUAAGUCCCUUGGGAAAUCUGGCAGCUCAACUGUCAGGCUGCUAGGGGAUACUGUUUGGCUUGGGACCGGGAGAGGUGAGAGGUACCUUGGGGGUAGGGGUGAAAUCUUGUGAUCCUCGGGGGACCACCAGUGGCGAAGGCGUCUCACCAGAACGGGUCCGACGGUAAGGGACGAAAGCUAGGGGCACGAACCGGAUUAGAUACCCGGGUAGUCCUAGCCGUAAACGAUGCUCGCUAGGUGUCAGUCACGGUGCGACCGUGAUUGGUGCCGUAGGGAAGCCGUGAAGCGAGCCACCUGGGAAGUAUGGCCGCAAGGCUGAAACUCAAAGGAAUUGACGGGG